rnacentral:rRNA from 1 species
AAUAUUGGACAAUGGGCGAAAGCCUGAUCCAGCCAUGCCGCGUGUGUGAAGAAGGCUCUAGGGUUGUAAAGCACUUUCAAUUGGGAGGAAAAGCUAAUGGUUAAUAACCAUUAGCCUUGACGUUACCUUUAUAAGAAGCACCGGCAAACUCCGUGCCAGCAGCCGCGGUAAUACGGAGGGUGCGAGCGUUAAUCGGAAUUACUGGGCGUAAAGCGCGCGUAGGUGGUUUAGUAAGCAGGAUGUGAAAUCCCCGGGCUCAACCUGGGAACUGCAUCCUGAACUGCUAGACUAGAGUAUGGUAGAGGAUAGUGGAAUUUCAGGUGUAGCGGUGAAAUGCGUAGAUAUCUGAAGGAACAUCAGUGGCGAAGGCGACUAUCUGGAUCAAUACUGACACUGAGGUGCGAAAGCGUGGGGAGCAGACAGGAUUAGAUACCCUGGUAGUCCACGCCGUA